AGUUUACUAAACUGAGUUAACUAAGCAACUUCUGGAAUCAGGAAGGGUCUCAGGAAGACUACCUUGGACUCAGAAUCGAGGGACCCCGGAGCCCUCAUGGGACAUCUCAAUCACACCGGACUUGGCAUAUUCAUCAGCCUAGCAACCUAUGAUUACCAAGCAUUUCUGUGUUCAAAGGGCUUGCGGGGCAUUAUUUCAUCUCUUUCCCCUCCAGAUCUGGAGCAGUCAUACCCGCCACUCUGACAGAGAGCUGGAGGAGCCACGUGGAGACUGUA